GUAUGUAUAUAUCAGAAUUAUGCAAUAAUAAUGUAUAAAUCCCAAAAUAGCCCAUGAGAUUAGGAAUGAUCCCACAGCAUUAUUCAUUAUAUUCAACAUUUAAGUGGGUAGUUGUGGAGCAAAUAUGAUUUAUAUCCUGACAGCAGUGCAUGAAACAGGUAAUCUGAAAGAAAUCAUGUGCCUCUGUGUACUCUGGGUGUCCUCUGGGUGUCCUCCGGGUGUCCUCCGGGUGUCCUCC